rnacentral:misc_RNA from 1 species
GAUGAAGAACGUAGCGAAAUGCGAUAAGUAAUGUGAAUUGCAGAAUUCAGUGAAUCAUCCAAUCUUUGAACGCACCUUGCACCCUUUGGCAUUCCGAAGGGUAUGCUCGUUUGAGUGUCAUUGUACUCUCACACUUCCGAUCUUUGGAUUGGGAGCGGUGGACUUGGGUGUUGCUGCUUACUGUGGCUCACCUCAAAUCGAUUCGUGCACCUCUUGGUUGGACAUAGUACGGCGUGAUAAGUGUCUUCGCCGGCACCUCAGUAGAGGGUGGCUGAUCGGGAGCUCUGCUUCAAACCGUCCUCGGACAACAACUGACAACUUGACCUCAAAUCGAGUAGGACUACCCGCUGAACUUAAGCAUAUCAAUAAGCGGAGGA